AUUGCCUCGUUAAUUAACGAGUUAUUAUUAUUGAAUACUCCAUAUUAACAUUAGAAAUUUAAGAGAAAAUGCAUUAAAGAUUUUUAUUCUCGUUGGUUUAUUAAAUUUCGUCAGUGCCCAAUAUAAAGAGGGUGGUAAUUACGAUGUUUACGUUCGAGCUCUAGUGCCAAAUUAUGGAAAGAACCACCAAGAAGAGGAAUAUUAUGGAAAGGCUACACCUUACAGUUUCGGUUACGACUUGAAGGACGAGCAUGGCAAUAAUCAGUUUCAUAGAGAAGAGAGUGACGAACAUGGUACUAAAAGAGGAUCAUACGGUUACACCGAUGCUUAUGGUAUAUAUCGCCAUGUCGAAUAUGUAGCUGAUGCACUAGGAUUUAGAGCAACGAUAAAAACAA